CCAGGAGGUUAUUCCAGUGUUCCAUUAAGCAGCUGUGCUGUUUCUGUAAUUCCCUGUAGCUCUGAGAAUUUGGGAGGGGCAUCAAAGCUGUUUUGCUACACAAACACUGGGGGGAUUAUUUUUAACUUAAAGAGUCUUAAACCAUACAUUUUUCAGUGGUAAAGUCCUGUCUGGCACAGCUAAGCAGUCCAAGGUAGUGUGUGCAGCAUGCGCUGCAACAGGAUAGACAUAAAAUCUUUGUUUUAGCUUUAAACUACUGUUUUAAAUAGGUCUAAGAUUGUUGUGUUAUAGUAACCCACAGCUACUCCACCAGUCUGGAGACCACACUACUCAGGGAGAGCUUCUGUAUGACAAUGGUGUGUUGUGAUGUGACAUUUUCCCAACUGUGCACUUCCUAAUUUCCUUGUAAUUUGCUGGCUGUGAAGAGCUCAGGAGGACCAAAGCUUUUUUUUUUUUUUUCCCCUGAAAUAUUCCUGAGGAAGCGCAGCUCCAGCCCAAACCCCUUGAUCAGUCGAGCAGUUCAUGCAGCACUCCACUCUCCAAAGGAGAAAAGAUGACAUUACAGCUCCCAGGCUGACAGAAUUAACACCCUGUACCCUUCAUUCUGUGAAUCUUCCUCGGUGUGCUUCAUCUCCUGACAGAAAAAGGAGGAAUAAAGUGUCCUGUUGAAGACUGUGGUAACUGCUGGGCUGGUGAACGGAGACGAAUUUUGUCAACUCAUAUUGACAACUCUGUGCCUUCGACUGUUUGAGCUCUUGGGUCCUGUGACUGUGCUGAAAGUUCAAAAGGAAAUAAACUGAGAGGUACACAAACAGCAUUCAUUUUUUAUGAAGGUUUUUAUUCCACUCCAGUGGCAAAAGUUUCCAAUCAGUGCUGAAGGAAGUACAGUCACAAUGCAGCAAUUGUUUCCACCUUCUUUUUUUAGCAAU